AUGCCAAAGGCGAUAUUAGGAAACUGCUUCGCAAUAACGUUACAGACCAACAUUGACCUAUGGUAAAGAGAAAGUCCGGUGCUGAACGAAUC